rnacentral:rRNA from 1 species
AGAAUCAACGCUGGCGGCGUGCCUAACACAUGCAAGUCGAACGAGAAAGGGGAGCAAUCCCUGAGUAAAGUGGCGCACGGGUGAGUAACACGUGACUAACCUACCCUGGAGUGGGGGAUAACUGAGGGAAACCUUAGCUAAUACCGCAUAACACCUACGGGUCAAAGGAGGCAAUUCGCUUUGGGAGGGGUCGCGGCCGAUUAGUUAGUUGGCGGGGUAAUGGCCCGCAAGACAGUGAUCGUAUCC